AACUCAAAACUAGUUGCGGCAGAGGGACCCUGAAGAGAUCCACUCCUGGAUUGCCCUUUACAGUUCAUGAGUUCCCCCACUGGAGUGCAGACUAGAGCACUGAUUGAUGGACCAGGUAGACUUGAAACCAGGAAUAGCACAAAAGUUAUCAAAGAGGCUCAGCCAUGGAGAUUGCAAGCUGGGGAUGGAAGUAUCCCUGGAGUUGAGCUGUUCUCACACCUGGUACCUGAGUUAUACCCCUGGUGCUGGGUACCAAGGUCACUAGCCUUGCCACUUUUCUAUGUUCCUGAUCCCCUACUAAACAGUCCACCUUUUUGCCUACUUCCCCUGACUCCUGUACCCUGUCCCCUCUUUCUGCCUAGUUUGAAGACACUGGUCAUCCCAUAACAUGUCCUGGGCUAAUACAUAUCCUCAAAUCGUU
rnacentral:lncRNA from 1 species